rnacentral:rRNA from 1 species
AUGCCACUGUCUGAUAGGAGGCUCAAAUGGCAAGAUCUGCAGCUUCUCAUUGAAAAAAUUAUGAAGAAAAUCGCUGGGUGGAAGGCUCGAUGGAUUUCUACUCCUGGGCGUGUCACUCUUGUAAGAUUUGUGCUCUCUGCCAUGCCCAUCUUCCAGUUGCUGGCAGUGGAACAACCCAAAUGGGUUAUCAAGCAGAUUGAUAAAUUGCGAAGGGCUUUCUUAUGGGCUGGUUCAGACUCGGUCAGUGGAGGCAAAUGUUUAGUGAAGUGG